CGGGACACGUGAUAUCCUGUCUGAAUAUGGGGGGACCAUCCUCCAAGGCUAAAUACUCCUGACUGACCGAUAGUGAACCAGUACCGUGAGGGAAAGGCGAAAAGAACCCCGGCGAGGGGAGUGAAAAAGAACCUGAAACCGUGUACGUACAAGCAGUGGGAGCACCCUUCGGGGUGUGACUGCGUACCUUUUGUAUAAUGGGUCAGCGACUUAUAUUCUGUAGCAAGGUUAACCGAAUAGGGGAGCCGGAGGGAAACCGAGUCUUAACCGGGCGUUAAGUUGCAGGGUAUAGACCCGAAACCCGGUGAUCUAGCCAUGGGCAGGUUGAAGGUUGGGUAACACUAACUGGAGGACCGAACCGACUAAUGUUGAAAAAUUAGCGGAUGACCUGUGGCUGGGGGUGAAAGGCCAAUCAAACCGGGAGAUAGCUGGUUCUCCCCGAAAGCUAUUUAGGUAGCGCCUCGUGAAUUCAUCUCCGGGGGUAGAGCACUGUUUCGGCUAGGGGGCCAUCCCGGCUUACCAACCCGAUGCAAACUGCGAAUACCGGAGAAUGUUAUCACGGGAGACACACGGCGGGUGCUAACGUCCGUCGUGAAGAGGGAAACAACCCAGACCGCCAGCUAAGGUCCCAAAGUCAUGGUUAAGUGGGAAACGAUGUGGGAAGGCCCAGACAGCCAGGAUGUUGGCUUAGAAGCAGCCAUCAUUUAAAGAAAGCGUAAUAGCUCACUGGUCGAGUCGGCCUGCGCGGAAGAUGUAACGGGGCUAAACCAU
rnacentral:rRNA from 2 species